AGCGAACGCUGGCGGCAGGCCUAACACAUGCAAGUCGAACGAACUCUUCGGAGUUAGUGGCGGACGGGUGAGUAACACGUGGGAACGUGCCCUUUGGUACGGAAUAACUCAGGGAAACUUGAGCUAAUACCGUAUGUGCCCUUCGGGGGAAAGAUUAUCGCCAUUGGAGCGGCCCGCGUCUGAUUAGCUAGUUGGUGAGGUAACGGCUCACCAAGGCGACGAUCAGUAGCUGGUCUGAGAGGAUGACCAGCCACAUUGGGACUGAGACACGGCCCAAAAUCCUACGGGAGGCAGCAGUGGGGAAUCUUGCGCAAUGGGCGAAAGCCUGACGCAGCCAUGCCGCGUGGAUGAUGAAGGUCUUAGGAUUGUAAAAUCCUUUCACCGGUGAAGAUAAUGACUGUAGCCGGAGAAGAAGCCCCGGCUAACUUCGUGCCAGCCGCCGCCGCGGUAA
rnacentral:rRNA from 1 species